CCAGUAGAAUAAAAUAGUCUGAACCUCUAAUUGUAGUUAACGUGUGAUUUCAUUCUUCUAUCGGGAGUCCCGAUAAGAUGGAGGUUAUGAAAAACUCAUCAAAUUUCAUCAUCCAUCAUAUGUAAGAUUUAAUUAGCUUGAGUUCAACUCAUGAUUUUUCAUAAAAAUCUUUUUUCAUUAAUCACAUCACCAUAGCCACGAUCUUUAAGAACUUAGUUUCAUAAAUCACAUAGGACUAAUCUGCAACUACUAAGAUCGAUAGAUCCCUUCUAGAUGCGCACUCUACUUCUACAGUGAACUUACUAUAGCCAACGUACACUGCAAGGACCCACAU
rnacentral:lncRNA from 1 species